GUAGCUGUCAAGCUUUGAGCCUGACACGUGAGGAACCAGGAACGCGGAACACGCUCAGGAAACAUUAGGACUAUACUAUCUUGGCGAUGAGCAGGGGGAGACCGCAGCCAGCCAACUUGUGCGCGGCGGCCUGACCGGCCGCUUUCCCUUUAAGCACCUGCGCGCCCAUCCCGCGGAGGGAGCGGCGCGAGGCUCAAGCGCGCUGCCAAGCACUCAGAUUCCUCCGCCGAGCGCGCUCCCGUCUUCCCCAGAUUUCCUCCUUCCGCUCCCGCCCGCGGGCUUCGGGGCUCCGGGUUCGCACUUCCCCCCGCCGCUAGUUCCGGUGAGCCCGCCCACCGGCCUUCGGCCCUGGGACUAGACCCGGCCCGAGCCGCGGGGCCGCCCCGCGAGGACCCGCUGCCGGGAUCCGUUCUCCGCCCCCCUUCCCCGAGGCCGACACGCACUUCCGGCGACGCGGCGGCUGGGACCGAGCAGGGAGGGGAGCGGGGCGGCGGGCGGUGACGGAUGCCCUGAUGGUCAGGAUGCGGGACCUCCUGACCCCGAACUAUGCGCUGCGCGGGGAGCGCCACGAGCUCACGGACCGGGUGCGGCGGCGUCUGUGCGAGACGGCCAAGCUGCUGGCCUAGGUGCGUGCGUCCGCCCGCCCGCCUGCCUGCCCCAUGCCCGAAAUGUUUAAUGUAAUUCCUCCCGGCUUCCCGACUUUUUAUCGAAGCAGCCUCUUCCUUGAGGUUCUUCGAGGCCAGAUUCUCCAGCGACACCGUGAAGGUGGUAUUUCUAAUCAGCCGCCUCACUGGGGCGGCCGAGGAGUGGGUAGUAUCCUACAUCGAGAGGGAGAGCCCCAUCCUGGCUCAUUAGGACGCUUCGUGGACGCGCCGGAACGGGCCGUUGGCCGGAAUGAGUAGAAAAGAAGGCUUCGAGCCUCUUCCCUCGGCUUUGGUUCCGGAGAGCUCUCUAGUGGCCAGCUGCUGGGCCCCGUCCCUCGCUUGGAAGCUUGUCCGCCUCCUGUUCUGGCCAGCCCCACGGCCUUUGUACCCUGCCCAGCUGUCAGAGGAGACCUGUUAGAAAUUGAACAGGCCCCCCAGGAUCACCCUCUGCCACCUGCCGUCUCUGAAGAUUGCCGCUGACCGCCUUUGAAAAUCAGGGCCAACCUAGGAAGUGCCUGGGUUUGUCACACCUCUGUAGAGACUGAUUCUCUGAUUCUGGAUAGCUCAGGCCAGGAGACAGCUUGUAGGGUUAGUGAGCCUGGCAGCCAAGUUGACAUUUCUCCCGCAGGAACCAGCUUUCCAUACUGGUUCCAUGCUUCAUUUCUGUUCCGAAACCACAAGUCUCCUAGAUCGUGCCUUUUGGGCAGAGAAACCCAGGCGCUGGACACUACAUGGAAAAAGUGUUUACUUUUAAGACCUUACAUAUAAGUCUUAACAUUACCACAUGCCCAGUACUAGGUGUUAACAGGAAAGGCAGAGAUGAAGACGACAAAAUAUGUGACUUCAGGAACACGAUUUUGUCCUGAGAAAAAAUUAUUUUCCAUUUACCUGGCUUUAACUGCUAUAUCCAAGUUCUUCUGGCUAAACUGCAGUACAUCCAUGAUGGGAACAAAGGACAGAGGCAGGUGUGUGCCCAAGGACACGUGGGGGAGAGUCUAAAACAGGACAAUCCGGAACUCGUAAGAAAUCAAAUGCCACCAGCCUCACUUUAAGUGGACUUCCUCAGGAACUCUUGGCAUAAUAAAUGCUGUUUGUUUCA